rfam:Cricetulus griseus cell line CHO-K1, whole genome shotgun sequence.
CUAGAGGAGUUUCUUAACUCCAUCUUAGAGAAGCUAGAUAAUUCCAU